AAACUAAGACCCAAAAAGUCCUGUGGAGACCAAAAUUUUCUAAUUUGUUUCCUUGAAAGUGAAGCCCUCCCCGUUGGCUUAUUGGGUUAAUUAGUUAAUAAAUACACACAAUCAUCAAAGUUCCUCUACAUCUACACUAACAAUCACCCUCCUUUGUAAGCUUUUUACAAUCAAAACUAAUGGCUGCAACAACUUUGGUCGCUUGGAAGAAAGUUAUCUUCUUUACUUUGCUUCUUCUUGCUUACAACAUUUCUGCGAGAGAACUUAUUGCUCGCACGACCCGUGAACCAUCGCUGACGGGAGAGAUGAAUGAUGUGAUAGAUCGAAGAUUAGUAGUUAGACAAUUGGAUAUCACUUGGAGAGGAAAUUAUUCUCCUCCUCCUCCCCGUCGUUCUCCUCCUCCCCUCUCCUCCUAAGAGCGCCAAGGUCUUGAUUUGAACAAUGGGAUGUUUUUAUUUUUAAUUACCCUUCUUUGGUCUUUUUUUUGGGAGGAUCUACGCAAGUUGUAUGAAUCAGUUAUUAUCCCUUAUAAGGAUGUAGCCAUUUAAUGGCGUUGUGUGUGAUUUUGGUGGAGUUUAACUACAGCCACAAACACUUUUUGAUGUUAAAUUCAAUAGUCUUGAUAUAAUAAUAUUUAAUCAAAGUUUAAUAACA